AUUGGCUCCAAUCGGGGUCGAUUUAUAGAGCGGAGAGGAGGUCGCACCAUUUCAUCAACUUCUUCCGUCGUCCAACCGUUCACAGAAUUUAGGUCAUCGCGAGCCGAAAGUGCGGGUGUACGUCUUUGCGGCCUCG
ensembl:ncRNA F18A1.9 ncRNA